CCCAGGAACUGCAUUCCUAAUUGGUUGGGUGUUGUUGUGCGCUGGCUGGCGUGCGGUGCAUUUGCGGGUGGAGUGCGCCGAGAUGCCCGGUGCAGCGGUGCGAGCCCGGUUCAGAGGCCAAACGCUUCGGUGGUUGGAACCCGUGCCCGGGGGGGGGGCCUUUGGGCCGGGGGGCAAACCCAGGGGGGGGGUUUCCGGCCCCGGGGGGCCCCCAACUUGGGGCCCCGGGUGGGCGCCGAGCUGGCAAUUGGAGGCGGUCGCGUGCGACACGUGCUGGCGGUCAGUUCGGUCCUGCUCGAGCUCUCACAAUGCGUCCGUUCUCGGUGUAAAAGCCGGUCAUCUGUCCGACCCGUCUUGAAACACGGACCAAGGAGUUUAGCGUGUGCGCAAGUCAUUGGGCGUUCAAAACCCAAAGGCGCAAUGAAAGUGAAGGUCUCCCUCGUUGGAGCUGACGUGUGAUGGCCACUGCGGUGCGUCGGGCGCAACAUGGUCCCGUUCUGGCCGCUUGCGGCGGAGCGGAGACAGAGCGUACGCGCUGAGACCCGAAAGA
rnacentral:rRNA from 1 species